AGGGCCGCGGUAAUUUGACCGUGCAAAGGUAGCAUAAUCAUUAGUCUUUUAAUAGGAGGCUUGUAUGAAUGGUCGGAUGAGGGAUGUGCUGUCUUUGUAUUAAAUCUAGAAUUUAACUUUUAAGUGAAAAGGCUUAAAUAAAUUUAAGGGACGAUAAGACCCUAUAAAACUUCAUAUUCCAGUCUUAUACUUUUAAAAAUUCAGUUUAAUUAGGGUAGAACAUAGAAUAUUUCGUUGGGGCGACGAUGAUAUAAUUUUAACUGUCAUUGGUAAUUAAAUAGUAUCGUUUAGGGUGUGAUCCUGUAGUAUGGAUUAAAAGAUCAAGUUACUUUAGGGAUAACAGCGUAAUUUUCCUUGAGAGUCCUUAUCGACAGGAGUAGUUGCGACCUCGAUGUUGAAUUAAAAUUUCCAAAUGGUGUAGGAGCUAUUUUGGUGGGUCUGUUCGACCUUUAAAAUUUUA
rnacentral:rRNA from 1 species